UGAGGAAUAUUGGUCAAUGGACGAGAGUCUGAACCAGCCAAGUAGCGUGAAGGAUGAAGGUCCUACGGAUUGUAAACUUCUUUUAUAAGGGAAUAAACCCUCCCACGUGUGGGAGCUUGUAUGUACCUUAUGAAUAAGCAUCGGCUAACUCCGUGCCAGCAGCCGCGGUAAUACGGAGGAUGCGAGCGUUAUCCGGAUUUAUUGGGUUUAAAGGGAGCGCAGACGGGUCGUUAAGUCAGCUGUGAAAGUUUGGGGCUCAACCUUAAAAUUGCAGUUGAUACUGGCGUCCUUGAGUGCGGUUGAGGUGUGCGGAAUUCGUGGUGUAGCGGUGAAAUGCUUAGAUAUCACGAAGAACUCCGAUUGCGAAGGCAGCACACUAAGCCGUAACUGACGUUCAUGCUCGAAAGUGUGGGUAUCAAACAGGAUUAGAUACCCUGGUAGUCCACACGGUAAACGAUGAAUACUCGCUGUUUGCGAUAUACGGCAAGCGGCCAAGCGAAAGCGUUAAGUAUUCCACCUGGGGAGUACGCCGGCAACGGUGAAACUCAAAGGAAUUGACGGGGGCCCGCACAAGCGGAGGAACAUGUGGUUUAAUUCGAUGAUACGCGAGGAACCUUACCCGGGCUUAAAUUGCACUCGAAUGAUCCGGAAACGGUUCAGCUAGCAAUAGCGAGUGUGAAGGUGCUGCAUGGUUGUCGUCAGCUCGUGCCGUGAGGUGUCGGCUUAAGUGCCAUAACGAGCGCAACCCUUGUUGUCAGUUACUAACAGGUGAUGCUGAGGACUCUGACCAGACUGCCAUCGUAAGAUGUGAGGAAGGUGGGGAUGACGUCAAAUCAGCACGGCCCUUACGUCCGGGGCUACACACGUGUUACAAUGGGGGGUACAGAGGGCCGCUACCACGCGAGUGGAUGCCAAUCCCUAAAACCCCUCUCAGUUCGGACUGGAGUCUGCAACCCGACUCCACGAAGCUGGAUUCGCUAGUAAUCGCGCAUCAGCCACGGCGCGGUGAAUACGUUCCC
rnacentral:rRNA from 1 species